rnacentral:rRNA from 1 species
GCGGCAGGCCUAACACAUGCAAGUCGAGCGGUAACAGAGAGGUGCUUGCUCCUUUGCUGACGAGCGGCGGACGGGUGAGUAAUGCUUGGGAACAUGCCUUGAGGUGGGGGACAACAGUUGGAAACGACUGCUAAUACCGCAUAAUGUCUACGGACCAAAGGGGGCUUCGGCUCUCGCCUUUAGAUUGGCCCAAGUGGGAUUAGCUAGUUGGUGAGGUAAUGGCUCACCAAGGCAACGAUCCCUAGCUGGUUUGAGAGGAUGAUCAGCCACACUGGGACUGAGACACGGCCCAGACUCCUACGGGAGGCAGCAGUGGGGAAUAUUGCACAAUGGGCGCAAGCCUGAUGCAGCCAUGCCGCGUGUGUGAAGAAGGCCUUCGGGUUGUAAAGCACUUUCAGUCAGGAGGAAAGGUUAGUAGUUAAUACCUGCUAGCUGUGACGUUACUGACAGAAGAAGCACCGGCUAACUCCGUGCCAGCAGCCGCGGUAAUACGGAGGGUGCGAGCGUUAAUCGGAAUUACUGGGCGUAAAGCGUACGCAGGCGGUUUGUUAAGCGAGAUGUGAAAGCCCCGGGCUCAACCUGGGAACUGCAUUUCGAACUGGCAAACUAGAGUGUGAUAGAGGGUGGUAGAAUUUCAGGUGUAGCGGUGAAAUGCGUAGAGAUCUGAAGGAAUACCGAUGGCGAAGGCAGCCACCUGGGUCAACACUGACGCUCAUGUACGAAAGCGUGGGGAGCAAACAGGAU